rnacentral:lncRNA from 1 species
UAGCGGGGGAUGGGCACCCCUCCCCCCAGUUUAAGACACACCGAAGGAGAAAACCAGCUCCUCCGCCGCUUCCCGCCCCACUUCCCCCGCAGCCGGCUCCCAAGCGCCGCCGCCUCCGCUGCUGCGCGCCCCGGGCAGGAGCCGCACGGGCGCCCGCUCGCUGCAGCCUGAGGGCGGAUCGGGGCCGCCGCAGAACCGCUCCGUCUGCCGCGCGCCGAGCCGCGGGACCAUGAACCCGGGCGAGAGGAGGCUGCAAGCGGCCGCUGCCGCUGCCGGGCUGCCUCCAGCCGGCGCCCGGUGCGCGGGGGGCGGCGGCUCCGCAGCCGUCUGCCUGCUGCUCUCGCUCACCUCGCUGGGCGCCUGCCUGCUGCUGAGCGCCAAGACCUGCGAGCUGCAGGGCAGGGUGGCGGCGCUGGAGGAGCGGGGCAGCCCCGGCUGGGCAGCGGGAGCCCCCCUGAGCCCCGGACCGCUGCUCGCCCUGCUGCAGCCCCACAUGGAGCAGCUCUUCCAGGAGAAACUGGGCGAAGGAUUAGCCAAGCUGCGGACAGUGCGAGAGGCUCCAUCUGAAUGUGUCUGCCCACCAGGUAUGUGGAACAGUGACAUCUUACUUAUACCAUUCCCACCAAAGUUUGACAGUUGGUAAAUUGUUGACAGUCUUACUGCAUUAAUACUACCCACAUUCCUCUUCUUUCUUUUAGCUGCUCCUUUGUAUUAAAUGGAAUAUGCUAACGAGUUUAAAUACCUCCAAAGAUGAAGUGCCCCCUUCUGAUCAACUGGAUUAACUUUCCCUGGCUUGCAUUUGUGCGUUUGGUGUUUGGGGCUUGAGUGGGGAAGCCGUAUGCUCUAUUAAAUAACUGUUUUACUCUAACAUAUCUACUGACCUGUGUGCCCUACACAGUCCACUGAAAGGCAUUCAGAAAAAGACAUAUAAAAACCUCUGCAGUUUAAACAUCAGUGUGAUAAUUAAAAGCUGUAUCACCACUUCCUUUUAAGAUGCUAGAGUGGCUUCUCCAUUAUUGCUCGGCAUAUGAAAACUCUCAUUGACUGUUUAAA